rnacentral:rRNA from 1 species
AACGAACGCUGGCGGCAGGCCUAACACAUGCAAGUCGAACGCUCUAGCAAUAGAGAGUGGCAGACGGGUGAGUAACGCGUGGGAAACUUCCUAGGGGUACGGAAUAGCUCAGGGAAACUUGGGGUAAUACCGUAUGAUGCCGUAAGGCCAAAGAUUUAUCGCCCUUAGAUGUGCCCGCGUCGGAUUAGCUAGUUGGUGAGGUAAUGGCUCACCAAGGCGACGAUCCGUAGCUGGUUUGAGAGAAUGACCAGCCACACUGGGACUGAGACGCGGCCCAGACUCCUACAGGAGGCAGCAGUGGGGAAUCUUGGACAAUGGGCGCAAGCCUGAUCCAGCCAUGCCGCGUGAGUGACGAAGGCCUUAGGGUUGUAAAGCUCUUUUGCCGGGUACGAUAAUGACGGUUCCCGGAGAAUAAGUCCCGGCUAACUUCGUGCCAGCCGCCGCGGUAA